GAUGAAGAACGCAACGAACUGCGAUAAGUAAUGUGAAUUGCAGAAUUCAGUGAAUCAUCGAAUCUUUGAACGCAUCUUGCGCUCCUUGGUAUUCUGAGGAGCAUGCCUGUUUGAGUGUCAUUAAAUUCUCAACUACACUGACUUUGAAUUGGUGUGGCUUGGAUUUGGGGGGAAAAUUGUUGUGGGCUUUUUGUAUAGUCUGCUCCCCUGAAAUUGAUUAGCGGUACCUUUGUGGAACUGUCUACAGGUGUGAUAAUUAUCUACAUCUUAGACAUCUGCUGGAAUGCUGCUUUCUAAACCUUACUUGUAUUGACAAUCUUGACCUCAAAUCAGGUAGGACUACCCGCUGAACUUAAGCAUAUCAAUAAGCGGAGGA
rnacentral:misc_RNA from 1 species